GACGAACGCUAGCGGCGUGCUUAACACAUGCAAGUCGAACGGAAAGGCCUCUUUCGGGGGGUACUCGAGUGGCGAACGGGUGAGUAACACGUGAGUAACCUGCCCUUGACUUUGGGAUAACUUCAGGAAACUGGGGCUAAUACCGGAUAGGAGCUCCUGCUGCAUGGUGGGGGUUGGAAAGUUUCGGCGGUUGGGGAUGGACUCGCGGCUUAUCAGCUUGUUGGUGGGGUAGUGGCUUACCAAGGCUUUGACGGGUAGCCGGCCUGAGAGGGUGACCGGCCACAUUGGGACUGAGAUACGGCCCAGACUCCUACGGGAGGCAGCAGUGGGGAAUAUUGCACAAUGGGUGGAAGCCUGAUGCAGCAACGCCGUGUGCGGGAUGACGGCCUUCGGGUUGUAAACCGCUUUCGCUCAUGACGAAGCUUUGUGUGACGGUAGUGGGUAAAGAAGCACCGGCUAACUACGUG
rnacentral:rRNA from 1 species